UACCUAAAUAAUGAUCUUAUUCAACUAACUUUAUCUUAUUUUGUAGCCUUGUGCUUCUUUCUACUGAGUUGUCUUGUACCAACUAAAAAUAGAGGUAUUUUAUCUCAGGUUCUCUACUAUGUGUAAUCUCAUAUCAAGAUUAAUGAGUAUCGUGAUCGUAUAAUUUUGAAUCCUAUCAACCCAUAUGGCAAGGCAAAGAAAAUGACAGUGGACAUCAUCCUAGAUUUUACAAAAUCAAAGGAGCAACCAGACAUGGCUGUCAUGAUCUAAGAUACUUCAACGUGAUUGGAUCGAACCCAGACAUAUGACUAGGAGAAGCUCCAAGGCCACUUUGUCAAGGGUCUCUGCAAUGCACUUACUGGUGCAUGAUUUACUGGAGGUUGUGCGCAUGAAUGUGCCACACAUUGGUACGGGGAUUGGAGUUGAAGCAGAUAAAUUUCACCAACAUUGGAGACAUGAUUGUCAUUCCUAUCCUGUGCACACUGCCUCCUCGCCGUCAUUCAUCGUCACCCUUGCAGUCCCGAUACCGGAGCAUGGUUGCCAGGGGAGAGCAGUCCGAGACAAAUUUGCCAUGUUGGGGCAGUCACAGGAGCCAAGGGGUUGCAGUCACAGGUCCUGCUAGCCAGGAUGGAGCAAUCAUAGGACCUCCUAGCAGUCCAAGGCAAAUUUGCGAGGUGGAGUAGUUGCAACUUCUGAAACCCACGUGAUAACAUGCUCAAGCGUUCGUAUGAAAAAAAGAUGGCACAUAAUCAAAAGAAGACCUCCUAUUCUGCGUUUGUGAACCUGUUUGUAUUUUUUUGAACUUGUUUUGUGAACCUCUAUUUGUAAACCUGUAAAAUCAGAAGUUGUGAAUAUGUGAGCUUGUUUUUGUAAAAUCUGAAUCUGGUUUUGUAAACUUGUUUUGUGAACCUCUUUGUAAGCCUGAUAAAUGAUGAACU